GGGCCGGCGGGCUUUACACAUGCAAAGUCGAACGAUGAUCAGGAGCUUGCUCCUGUGAUUAGUGGCGAACGGGUGAGUAACACGUGAGUAACCUGCCCCUGACUCUGGGAUAAGCGUUGGAAACGACGUCUAAUACUGGAUAUGAUCACUGGUCGCAUGGCCUGGUGGUGGAAAGAUUUUUUGGUUGGGGAUGGACUCGCGGCCUAUCAGCUUGUUGGUGAGGUAAUGGCUCACCAAGGCGACGACGGGUAGCCGGCCUGAGAGGGUGACCGGCCACACUGGGACUGAGACACGGCCCAGACUCCUACGGGAGGCAGCAGUGGGGAAUAUUGCACAAUGGGCGAAAGCCUGAUGCAGCAACGCCGCGUGAGGGAUGACGGCCUUCGGGUUGUAAACCUCUUUUAGUAGGGAAGAAGGGAGCUUCGGUUCUUGACGGUACCUGCAGAAAAAGCACCGGCUAACUACGUGCCAGCAGCCGCGGUAAUACGUAGGGUGCAAGCGUUGUCCGGAAUUAUUGGGCGUAAAGAGCUCGUAGGCGGUUUGUCGCGUCUGCUGUGAAAUCCCGAGGCUCAACCUCGGGCUUGCAGUGGGUACGGGCAGACUAGAGUGCGGUAGGGGAGAUUGGAAUUUCCUGGUGUAGCGGUGGAAUGCGCAGAUAUCAGGAGGAACACCGAUGGCGAAGGCAGAUCUCUGGGCCGUAACUGACGCUGAGGAGCGAAAGCAUGGGGAGCGAACAGGAUUAGAUACCCUGGUAUCCAUGCCGUAAACGUUGGGCGCUAGAUGUAGGGACCUUUUCCUCGGUUUCUGUGUCUUACCUAACGCAUUUAGCCCCCCGCCUGGGGAGUUACGGUCCUCAGGUCUAAAACUCAAGGAAUUUGACGGGGCCCGC
rnacentral:rRNA from 1 species